GCUGCGGUUGUCGUGAGGAUGAGGAUGAGGAUGAUGGUGGCACCAUCCUCCCCCCUCCUCACGCGCAGGCAGAAAAGGAUGGCUCGAGGCUGGAAAACACACACGCUGUUCGGCCGUGCGUCCGUCGCACCGCGACAUGGACUUUGGCUCUGAGCGCCUCACGGAUUGAGGGCAGCCCGGGCAGCAGCGCAGCGGAGACGUCACCUCGCCGCCCAUCCGAUGGCGGCCCAUCAACACUCUCCGGACAGCAGCAGUGAGGAGUGCACUGUGCUGGAGGCUCCGCCCCCCAAGGACACCUGCCCGCAACAUGGCGGCAAGGUGUGCGACUACUGUUGGGCGUGCCUGCGUCCGCUGUGCGCCGAGUGCGCAAGCGAGCACGGCGAGCACCCGUUGGCGCCUCUUGGCGACGCCUUGGAACAGCACCGGCGAACUUUGGAGGCGUGGAUGAGGGCGGCUCACGACAGACUGCCGCAGAUUUCGGCCGCCGCCGUGGUGGUGGGAGAGAUGGUCCAGCAGCUGACCAGUCAGAGGGCGGCCAUCGAGGAAGACAUCCAGUCCAGCUUCGAGGACCUUCACAAGCAGCUGGACGUGAGGAAGAGCGUUCUUCUCAUGGAGCUGGAGGUCACCUUCGGCCUCAAGCACAAGGUCCUCCAGUCUCAGUUGGAGAACCUGCUGCAGGGCGAGGGCGUCGCGUCGUCUGCCUGCGCCCGUGCGGAGGAGGUCCUGGCGACCGAGGCCUGUGUCGCAAGUCUGGAAGUGGAGCUGGACCUCAAGGAGAAGCUGGAGGAGCUGGCCAGGCGGGGCCUGUCGUGCCAGCCGGAGGAGAACGACCAGCUGGACCUGAUCCUGGAGGCGGACGGACUACGAAAGUGGAUCCACAACCUCGGCACCAUUGUGACCACCAGCGCCGUGGCAAGCCAGAGCGAGGCCAUGGGCGCUGGCCUGGAGCAGUGCACCGUGGGACUCCCUUCCUCUGUCACCAUCGUUACCAGAGACAAGUCCGGGGGGGCCUGCAAGAGCGGAAACGCCAUCCUGUCCGCCGAGGUGUUCACGCCCGACGGCAGCAUCGUGGACGGCGAGAUCGUGGACCACAAGAACGGAACGUACGAGUUUGUCUACGUGCUGCCCAAAGAGGGCGACUUCUCACUGGCACUGCGUCUGUACGACCAGCACAUUAAAGGAAGUCCCUUCAAACUGAGCGUCGCCACGCCGCAGGUGUCGCCCUCCACCACCACGCCCUCCAACUCUGCAGCCAACGCCACGCCGUCCACGGGCUCCUCAGAGGGCGCCAAGAGACGGGGCAAGUCCCCCGGCCAGAAGAAGAAGGGCUCCAAGAGGGCCAGCAGCGCCCUGGGAACGCCACGUCGCAAAACCCAGAACCCCAUCGAGGACGACCUCAUCUUUCGGAUCGGAACCAAGGGCCGCAACAAAGGCGAGUUCACCAACCUUCAAGGGAUCGCCGCCGCCGCCGACAGCGGGAACAUCCUGAUCGCCGACAGCAACAACCAGUGUGUGCAGGUCUUCUCCAGCCAGGGAGAAUUCAAGAGUCGAUUUGGGGUGCGCGGGCGGUCCCCGGGGCAACUGCAGCGGCCCACGGGUGUGGCGGUGCACCCCAGCGGUGACAUCAUCGUCGCCGACUACGACAACAAGUGGGUCAGCAUCUUUUCCAGCGACGGCAAGUUCAAGGCCAAGCUGGGUUCGGGCAGGCUGAUGGGACCCAAGGGCGUGUCAGUGGAUCACGAGGGUCACGUGAUCGUAGUGGACAACAAAGCGUGCACGGUCUUCAUCUUCCAGCUGAGCGGAAAGCUCGUCACCAAGUUCGGGAGCCGCGGCAAUGGCGACAAGCAGUUUGCGGGUCCGCACUUUGCCGCUGUCAACAAGAACAACGAGAUCAUCGUGACCGACUUCCACAACCACUCUGUCAAGGUGUUCACGCCCGAAGGAGAGCUGCUCCUCAAGUUCGGCUCCAACGGCGAAGGCAACGGACAGUUCAACGCCCCGACCGGUGUGGCCGUGGACGCAAACGGGAACAUCAUCGUGGCUGACUGGGGGAACAGCCGCAUCCAGGUGUUCGACGGCAGCGGUUCUUUCCUGUCCUACAUCAACACGUCGGCCGACCCCUUGUACGGGCCGCAGGGGUUGGCCCUGACCCGGGACGGACACGUGGUGGUGGCCGACUCGGGAAACCACUGCUUCAAAGUUUAUCGCUACCUGCAAUGACGGCAAGCUGGAGGAAGCUCGGGAGGCGGCGGCUGGCAUUUUCUUUCCGACCAACAUGGAUGGCGAAAGGCCAGAGCUAGCAGUCCACAGUGUAGUGGCGCGCUGUGGGCCCCCCCCCCUCCCUUCCCCCCGCACCCCCAAAGGGAGAGCACGGUGACCAAUCGACCCUUUAAAGC